UUAAUCCCAGCACUGGUAGUCAGAGGCAGGUAGAUCUCUGAGUUCAAGGCCAGCCUGGUCUACAAGAGCUAGUUCCAGGACAGGCUCCAAAGCUGUAGAGAAACCCUGUUUCAACAAAACGGGUGAACAGUGCAGCUAGGCGUGGAGGGGCACAGCUUUAACCCCAGCACCUAGGAGGGAGAGUCAGGCAGAUCUUUGUGAGUUUGAUGCCAGCCUGCUCUACAGAAUGAGUUCCAAGACAGUUAGGUCUAUUACACAGAGAAACUAUCUCAAAAAAGGCAAAAGGGGGCCAGGCAGCAGUGGUGCACUCCUUUAAUCCCAGCAUUUGGGAGGCAGAGAAAGGUGGCUCUUUGUGGAUUAAAGGCCAGCUUGGUCUACAGAGGGAGUUCCAGGACAGGCAACAAAAAGCAAAGCGGAGAAAGGGGUGAGGAAAUGGUUCUUAUGUUCUAGUUUACACUGUUAAACCCGUGCCCUUUAUCGUGUUUUUUAAUUUGCAUUCAGGUUGUCCGGGGACACUACAAAGGCCAGCAGAUUGGCAAAGUGGUCCAAGUGUACAGGAAGAAAUACGUCAUUUACAUUGAACGGGUGCAGCGAGAAAAGGCUAAUGGCACAACUGUCCACGUGGGCAUCCACCCCAGCAAGGUGGUAAUCACCAGGCUAAAGCUGGACAAAGACCGAAAGAAGAUCCUGGAAAGGAAAGCCAAGUCUCGACAAGUAGGAAAGGAGAAGGGCAAAUACAAGGAAGAAACGAUUGAGAAGAUGCAGGAGUAGGGGCGUCUCAUACAGUUUCCAUUAAAGACUGCUUGAGUAAUCCUG